AACGAACGCUGGCGGCAGGCUUAACUCAUGCCAGUCGAACGCCCCGCCAGGGGAGUGGCAGACGGGUGAGUACCGCGUGGGAACAUACCCUUUUCUACGGAAUAGCUCUGGGAAACUGGAAUUAAUACCGUAUACGCCCUACGGGGGAAAGAUUUAUCGGGGAAGGAUUGGCCCGCGUUGGAUUAGCUAGUUGGUGGGGUAAAGGCCUACCAAGGCGACGAUCCAUAGCUGGUCUGAGAGGAUGAUCAGCCACAUUGGGACUGAGACACGGCCCAAACUCCUACGGGAGGCAGCAGUGGGGAAUAUUGGACAAUGGGCGCAAGCCUGAUCCAGCCAUGCCGCGUGAGUGAUGAAGGCCUUAGGGUUGUAAAGCUCUUUCACCGAUGAAGAUAAUGACGGUAGUCGGAGAAGAAGCCCCGGCUAACUUCGUG
rnacentral:rRNA from 1 species